CGGAUUAGCCCAAACCAAUAAAGUUUUCUUUAUUGGGGUUGCGGACAUAUCAUAACGAAGAGGUAUCGUAAUUGAAGAGGUUUGGAAAGACCCACCACAGAAGGUAAUAGUCCUGUAUGUUAAACGAGAAGACUUCAGAUAUGAUCCAGAGUACCACGGGACACGUGAAACCCUGUGGGAAGCAGGAGGGACCACCCUCCAAGGCUAAAUACUACCUAGUGACCGAUAGCGUAUAGUACCGUGAGGGAAAGGUGAAAAGAACCCCGGGAGGGGAGUGAAAUAGAACCUGAAACCCUGCACUUACAAGCUGUGGAAGCACAUUUCUUGUGUGACCGCGUACUUUUUGUAGAACGGGCCAACGAGUUACGUUAAGUAGCAAGGUUAAGCACUUAAGGUGUGGAGCCGUAGCGAAAGCGAGUUUUAACUGAGCGUUCAGUUACUUGACGUAGACCCGAAACCGGGCGACCUACCCAUGAGCAGGAUGAAGCGAAAGUAAAAUGUCGUGGAGGGCCGAACCCACGAGCG
rnacentral:rRNA from 1 species